CGGGGAGGCAUUCUCUCCUCCGGGAGACUGGCAUUAUAGCAACAGCGAGCUGCAGAGAGACUGACUGGGCUACAGAGACAAGAUCUGGGCCUGCCUCAGCCACAGACCAAAAGACAUGAAGACAGCACAGGCUAUGGAGAGGAGGAUCAAACGGAAACACAGAAAUCUAAAACUGAGUCUACCUGCGGGGGCGACGGCCUUCGUUGCCUGGGCUGUGUAGUAUGCUCCAGGUUUCCAGCUUUGCUGAGAUGUUACCCGUGGUGAGGAGGGCUUUGGCGACAAAU
rnacentral:lncRNA from 1 species